GGUGGCUCAGUGAUAGAGCACCUGCCUUGCAUGCAUGAGGCCCUGGGUUCGAUUCCUCAGCACCA
rnacentral:tRNA from 1 species